UACGAAGGGGGCUAGCGUUGUUCGGAAUCACUGGGCGUAAAGCGCACGUAGGCGGAUCUUUAAGUCAGGGGUGAAAUCCCGAGGCUCAACCUCGGAACUGCCUUUGAUACUGGCGAUCUCGAGUCCGGGAGAGGUGAGUGGAACUGCGAGUGUAGAGGUGAAAUUCGUAGAUAUUCGCAAGAACACCAGUGGCGAAGGCGGCUCACUGGCCCGGUACUGACGCUGAGGUGCGAAAGCGUGGGGAGCAAACAGG
rnacentral:rRNA from 1 species